rnacentral:rRNA from 1 species
CCUGAACGCUGGCGGCGUGGCUAAGACAUGCAAGUCGCACGGUGUAGCAAUACACAGUGGCGAACGGGUGAGUAAUGUAUCGCUAACGUACCCCAGACUCUGGGAUAGCCGGGGAAACUCCGGGUAAUACCAAAUGAAAUGACCUUGUCGCAUGACGAGGUUCUCAAAGGUCCGCCGGUUUGGGAGCGGGCGAUAUCGUAUCAGCUAGUUGGUGAGGUAACGGCUCACCAAGGCGAUGACGCGUAGCCGGACUGAGAGGUUGGCCGGCCACAUUGGGACUGAGACACUGCCCAGACUCCUACGGGGGGCGUGCAGUAACGAAUCUUCCGCAAUGCACGAAAGUAGUGACAGAGCGACGCCGCGUGU